rnacentral:rRNA from 1 species
GAUGAACGCUGGCGGCGUGCCUAAUACAUGCAAGUCGAGCGAACGGACGAGAAGCUUGCUUCUCUGAUGUUAGCGGCGGACGUGUGAGUAACACGUGGAUAACCUACCUAUAAGACAGGGAUAACUUCGGGAAACCGUAGCUAAUACCGGAGAAUAUUUUCAACCGCCAGGUUAAAAAGUGAAAGACGGUCUUGCUGUCACUUCUAGAUGGAUCCGCGUUGCAUUAGCUAGUUGGUAAGGUAACGGCUUACCAAGGCAACGAUGCAUAGCCGACCUGAGAGGGUGAUCGGCCACACUGGACCUGAGACACGGUCCAGACUCCUACGGGAGGCAGCAGUAGGGAAUCUUCCGCAAUGGGCGAAAGCCUGACGGAGCAACGCCGCGUGAGUGAUGAAGGUCUUCGGAUCGUAAAACUCUGUUAUUAGGGAAGAACAUAUGUGUAAGUAACUGUGCACAUCUUGACGGUACCUAAUCAGAAAGCCACGGCUAACUACGUG